rnacentral:rRNA from 1 species
CAGUCCCGCGGUAAUACAGAGGGUGCGAGCGUUAAUCGGAUUUACUGGGCGUAAAGCGUGCGUAGGCGGCUUCUUAAGUCGGAUGUGAAAUCCCUGAGCUUAACUUAGGAAUUGCAUUCGAUACUGGGAAGCUAGAGUAUUGGAGAGGAUGGUAGAAUUCCAGGUGUAGCGGUGAAAUGCGUAGAGAUCUGGAGGAAUACCGAUGGCGAAGGCAGCCAUCUGGCCUAAUACUGACGCUGAGGUACGAAAGCAUGGGGAGCAAACAGGAUUAGAUACCCCGGUAGUCCCUGUCUCUUAUACA